AGGGGAGCAAUCUCCGAGUAGAGCGGCGGACGGGUGAGUAACACGUGGGUAAUCUGCCUAGGAGCGGGGGAUAACCUGGGGAAACUCGGGCUAAUACCGCAUACGAUCAUGGGGCCUCGGCCCUGUGCUGAAAGGUGGCCUCUGCUUGCAAGCUACCACUCCUAGAGGAGCCCGCGCCUGAUUAGCUAGUUGGUGGGGUAACGGCCUACCAAGGCGACGAUCAGUAGCCGGCCUGAGAGGGCGAUCGGCCACACUGGAACUGAGACACGGUCCAGACUCCUACGGGAGGCAGCAGUGAGGAAUCUUGCGCAAUGGGGGAAACCCUGACGCAGCAACGCCGCGUGGAGGAUGAAGGUCUUCGGA
rnacentral:rRNA from 1 species